UUGGCGAUGUCAAUGAAGAAAAUCCCUGGUCAAGAAUUCAUCGAGUGGAAGUUUCUCACACUGGAAGUGGCCACCUUCCUUGGAAGGCGGAUUCAGAUGCGGCAGAUGUCUCUGAGACACUGUUUCUGGCGAUGGCAAUGCUCAGGGAAGCCAUGGAGGGCAUCGAUUAUGCCAUAGACUGGGCUCGGGGUGGAGGAAUGAGAAGAUGGCGGCGAUGGUAAGAGAGUAGAGACUAGAGAGAGAUCUCUUGGAGAAGGGACUAGGAGGGGGCUGCCUUUCUUGUUGGAAAGUGAGGAGAAGAGCACCCGGAAUGAAUUAGAAAUGUAUAGAUCAUACACACUUCUCGAGGAACAAGAUGGGGCUGGGAUAACCCAAGCACCCACCAACACGAGCACAAGAUUCACUCUCAUAAUAUAUGGAAAGAUUGGCAACGUAUCCAUGUACCUAUUGUGAUGGGCAUGUGAGCCUUGUGAGCUACUGUAGUACGGUUUCUCUAGCACUCGCCACCAGUAGCAGACUAGCAGAAACAGAUUUAGUUUGUUGAUUGUGGUAGGGAUGUUAUAUCCUAUGAAUUUGAGUUAAUUUAUAUUUGCCAGAAAUAAGAAUUCGAGUUAGAUUAGAUGGUCAUUGAUAGAGUUUCAAGUAUUAGAGGACAAGUUCAGUCAUGACUAUACUAGGACGAGCUUUGUACUUAUGAGAGGAAGCUUAAAAAUAAUUAGUUUUUUUUCUUCUCACCA